rnacentral:rRNA from 1 species
CAGUCGCCGCGGUAAUACAGAGGGUGCGAGCGUUAAUCGGAUUUACUGGGCGUAAAGCGUGCGUAGGCGGCUUCUUAAGUCGGAUGUGAAAUCCCUGAGCUUAACUUAGGAAUUGCAUUCGAUACUGGGAAGCUAGAGUAUGGGAGAGGAUGGUAGAAUUCCAGGUGUAGCGGUGAAAUUCGUAGAGAUCUGGAGGAAUACCGAUGGCGAAGGCAGCCAUCUGGCCUAAUACUGACGCUGAGGUACGAAAGCAUGGGGAGCAAACAGGAUUAGAUACCCCGGUAGUCCCUGUCUCUUAUAC